AGAGAUGAAACAACUAAAACAGAAUCCAAAUUCAAAGUAUCAGUAAGAGUUAAGGAUCCUUCCCCAAUGACUGGGGUUGUGUUACCAUUAGCCAUGGAAACAAUUUUUUGUGAGGAAGGUCUAAGGGGUGAAACCUGUUUAGAAUCAAAAGUCAUAUAAUUUGUAGCACUAGAUUCAAUUAUCCAUGCACUAUUAAUAACAGGUGUAAAAUUAUUUAAAAACUUACCACCAUGAUCUGUAGCGGCUACCAAUGUAGAGGCUUUCUCAACAACAUUAGCCUUUGUUUUUAUUUCGGCAACAGUUGCAGUCGAGGUUUUCUUGGAAUCCUUCUUCCGUUGAUCACGAUUAUUAUCAUUAAUAACAAAGUGGUGAUAGCCUAAACAUGAUCUUAAAGUCCAUGGUUCAAACCCUUGGUUCCUCAUUGUUUUCCUAGUUAUACCAAGAGUCGUUGCUUUGAAAUUGUGGGAUAUCCAGACUAGUGGGAUCAAUCUUAUUGCAGUGAGUGCAUUUGAAGGUUGACUUAUCAAUAUUAGGGUUUGUCUUAGGAUGGUUGCUCGCUGUUGGACUAUCAUAGCGACAAAAUAUCGAGGAUUUCAAUUCCAUAGCUCUAAUACCAUUUUCAAAUUGAUAAAUGGUAGUUUUUUCAUUCAUUUUUUCAUUUGUUCAUGUACAUAGUAUAUAUAGAGGAUAAUCACCAUUCUAAGAAUGGGAAAGAAUGAUACAAGGAAAGAAUGAUAUAAGGAAAUAACAACUAAUAUCCUAAUAUCUCAACUUUCCUAAUAUCUUAAUAUUCCUAAUAUCUAAACAUUCCUAAUAUCUCAACAGUUGGUAUAAUGAAAAUUGUUGCUUAAUUUAAACACUUACUACAAAAUAUACCCUAUUUUCGUAAAUAAAGUGUUAUCUUUUUAACCAUAACGCACUUUAUAAAUAUAUGCAUUUAACUAUUAAAAACAUAUUUGCAUAUAUUGUGCCCAUCUGAAUUAAGUUGUCCUCCUUUUCAAUAUAUAAACAAAAUAACAUAUUUGAAAAAUGAGUUAAAUCAAUUUUACUUUGAAUAAAAAAAAUUCCAAAAAAUAAUGUAAAUCAAGUUCUUUCUAUAGUAUAUACAUCAAAAACGAAAACUCAUACAAGCGAUAAAUAAACUACACAACCAAAAUAAUAGCUAUUAAAAAAAAAUUAAUAAUCCAUAUGUAUAUACAUCUUUAAAUGUUUCUAUUCACAAAAGGAUCUUGAGUCUUUCACUAACCUGAAACCUCUAGUAAUAAAUAAAUAAAUAAAUAAAUAAAUAAAUAAUACUAAUUAAUUAUUGGUUGAAGAUGAAAUCCAUGUAAGAAAAUCUUAGUGAUUAUGUAAAUCUUUAUUUUACCAAAAUAAAAAUUGUACAACAAAAAAAUAUUAGUAACCCAAAUGUAUAUAUACCAUCUUGAGUGUUUCAUUAGCUCAAACCUAUACCAAAAAAGGAAAAAAAAAAUUAACUAAUUAUUGGUUCAAGAUGAAAUCUAUCUAAUGAAACUUUAAUGAUUAUACAAACUUUUAUCUUGAAAAAUAACAAUUGUACAAAACAUUAAUAAUAUAUAUAUAUAUAUAUAUCUAUCUGGAAAUCUCUUUAUAGAAAAAACUGUCUUAUGCCUUUCACUAGCUAAACUUGUACCAAAUAAAAUAAAUAAAUUAUAUUAAUUAAUUAUUGGUUCAAGAUAAAAUCCAUCCAUCUAAUUAUUCCUCGAUAACCACAAAAACUUUCAUCUUACUAAAAUAGAAAUUGUACGAUCAAAAUAUGAAUAAUCCAAAUGUACAUAAUCUUGAAAUCUCUCUACAGAAAACCAUCUUGAGCCUUUCACUAACCUGAAACUUGUACCAAAUAAAAGAAGUAAAUGAUAUUAACUAAUUAUUGGUUCACGAUGAAGUUCAUCUAAUAAAAUUUAGAAACACGAAAUUUCAUCUUAACAAAUAACAACUAUAUAAUUAAAAUAUUAAUAACUUAGAUGCAUAGACAUCUUCAAAUUUCACUAUGCAAAAGGUCACCUGGAGGCUUUUACUAGCCUAGAACCUAUAACAAAAAUAAAUAAAUAAACACUAUCAACUAAAUAUUAGUUGAAAAUCAAAUUCAUUUAAUGAAAUCUUAGUAAUUAUAGAAACUUUGAUCAUACCAAAAUAAAACCUAUACAAACCAAAAGGAAUACAUCCAAAUACAUUACUUUAUACAAAUUUUAUUGGUUCAUGAUGAAAUUCAUAUAAUAAAACUUAGUAACACAAACUUUCAUCUUACCAAAAUAACAACUAUAUAAUCAAAAUAGUAAUAACUUAGAUGUAUAUACACCUUGAAGUCUCAUUAUACAUAAGGCCACCUUGAGACUUUUACUAGCGUAAAACCUAUAACAAAAAAUAAGUAAAUAAACACUUUCAGCUAAAUAUUAGUUGAAAAUCAAAUGCAUUUAAUGAAAUCUUAGUAACUAUAGAAACUUUUAUCACAACAAAAUAAAACUUAUACAAAAGAAAAGGAAUACAUCCAAAUACAUUAUAUAUAUAAAAUAAAGAGGCUUAAUGCAAAAUUAGUCCAUCUAGCCGUUGAAGCGAGAAAGUGUUGACAAAAUCUACCCACUCUAAUGUUAAUAAUGUUAACAUAACAACAUUGUAAUUCCCGAAUUUUUAGUGACACAUCAUAUUUAGGGAUCACAAAAGUUUUCCUAAAAUUGUAAGUAAAAUAGUAAAAAACAAUGGUAAAGAUUUACAUGUCAACUUUUAAUUGGAAGAAAUUUUAAAAAAGUCGGUCAAAAAUCAAUAAUUUGAAAUUUUUGCCACAUUAGAUUUAAAAAGUAGGAAUUUCAAGAAUUAGAUUUAAAUUUGGAGAGAAAUUUAACUAGAAAAUGAUAGAGAUUAGAUUUUAAAAAAACAUUGAACAUUAAAUAUAUUGUAAAAAUUAAUUUAAUUAUUACUAGGUAAUUAUUAGAGAUCCUUAGUAAGAAAAACAUGAUAAAAUUUGUAUUUUGAUAAAUUGUUAUAAUAUAUUGUUAAAAAGAAAUUGAAUUUAAUAUGACAACGAAUCAAUUUAAUUUUUAUAGUUGGGAUUGGACCUUGUAGAAUUACAAAACAUGAAACAAAAUUAAAUUAAGAUUAAAUAUGUUAUAUGGAUUUAGAAAUUUAUACAAAAAGGUAAAUUAAUUAAAUAUAAAUAUUAUCAUUUAGCAGGUUGAACUUUUGAAAGGUUGAUUUAAUUAAGGCAUGAUUCACAAAUGAAGUGAGUUAAAUUAAUGUCAUCCUAAAGGGUUAAAAAUCUAAUUAUUAUAAGUUAAAAGAUUAAAUAAUUGACAGUUAGUGGAUUACUAGUUAAAGUUAAGAUAUUGGAGAAAAAAAAAAAUAGAAAUAGAAGCUUAAUCAUGAGUAUGGAAACGUUUUCACUGAAUUGUAAGCGUGGGGAGAGGGACUAAGAAUUCCUUGAUUUAUAAGUGUAGUUGAUUCAUUCCAUUAAUGAACUAUUAACUAAUUGUGAAUUUCAAAAUGAAUCUAAUUAAAAUUUAUGUAUGAGAAAAUAAAUCAGAGUAUUUAAUAAUAGGAAACUUAAUUUUUAAGAAAGAAAACUUUAGGUGGUCAUUAAGACCACUUUUAGUUCUAACAAGAUUUUGAUCACUAAGAUAAGGGAAAUGAAGAGGAAGUGACUUGAGAGUGCAAAAAGAAAGAAAAGAAGCAACAACAACAACGACGACAACAACAACAACAACAACAACAAUAAUAAAGUUGUCUUGCAUAAUACCCACGAAUAAAAUAGAGAAAAAAAAUAAAAGGGAAAGGAAAAAAAGAGAAAAAGGGAGGCAGAUGGCAAAAGAAGAGAGGGAAUAAAAAGAAAAAAUAAAAUAAAGAAGAUGCAGUGAAGGCUGUGGGUUACCCACUACGAAAAGGCUUCAUUUUGAGCCACUAAACAUGCUCUAAUUAGUGUGAAAUUUUGAAGGGUUGUUCAAUUAGUUGAGAUGGACAUUGCCACAAUGUCGGAUUUCACAUCCAAUGGUUGGAUUUUCAAAUUUUGGUAGGUUGGCUUAUUCCUAAAAUUUUCAUUUCAUAUAUUUUGUUUUAUAGAAAAAUUUGAGGAUGUUGUUAAAAACUAGAUCUAUUCAUCAUUGUGAUAUUUUGAAAGUGAUUUUAUAUGUCUGAUUAUUCUUUUGAUUUCUUUUAAUGAAUAUAUGAAUUUUGGAUUGAUUUUAGUGGAAAUAAUACAAGAGGAAAAUUUAAUAAUGUCUAGUUGAUGAUAUAGUUUGUAUGAAAAAAAAAGGAUAUUUGUGUGAAAUAUUAGAAUUAUUUGAAUUGUAUUGGGAAGAUAAAAUUGAAAAUUUAGGAUAAUCAUUUAUAUUACAUAUAUUGAAACAAUGAAAAUUAUUAGUGGGAAAACAAAAUAGUGAUAAUUUAAAUUGUAGAAAUUUCAAGAUGUCUAAAUUGUGAAAAAUGUUGGUGCAUUGCUCUAUGUAGUAUAUUGUAUCACCAUAUUCAAUUUGCAUCCAUGGUUGUGUGUGAAGAAAAAUAAGAAAUGGUUGUAUUAAAUGGAAAAGAGAAUGAAAAGACCUUAAAGAAGGAAAAAAAAUGAAAAUAAAAGAAAUGAAGACCGAAAAAGAGGAUGAAUUAAAGAGGGAGUGAGAUCCCAAUCAUGAAAGAUACAAAAGUUUACCCUAGGAGAAGAUUUUAAAUGGAGAGUGUAUUUGGGUAUGAAUGUGUAUUCUUUGACUGAUAUCAAUUGUAGGUUUGAAUGUAACAUUAUUAGAAAAUAAAAUGAUUUAUUUAUUUUGUAAUCUUAGAAAUAUUGGACAUGAUAUAUAUGAUUAAAUAAGAGAAAUGAUAAUCUAAAUUGAUUUAAUUCUAUAUGGUUGGGGCUUCUUUUAAUGUUAUAAUGCAAAUGGAAUAUUAUUGUUUGACAUAUGAUGGUUUUGCAUAAAUUUAGAAUUUUUUUAGAGCCCUUUGGGUAUAAGACAACUUAUUAAGUAGUAUGGAAAUGCUCACCCUUUUUUUUUUCCUAAAAUUUUUAGAUACAUAUAUAGUUUAUGAGGAACAACAAGAAGAUUAGGGAGUAUUCCACAUAGUCCUAGAAAGUGAAGAACGAUAGUAAUGAUUGUUCAAAUCUUUUCAUACUUUGAGUUUUUCUGAUUGAAAGUUGAAAUGACUACCAUGCCUUGGAGUAGGUUUUGGAGCAUGACAAACAUAUUCAUAUAUAAAACUUUAUAAUACUUAGAAAAUGUUAUAGUUGAGUUCAUAACUUCAAAUUAAAUACACUCAAACAAAAAAUUAUCUCAUUUAUCUCAUCACAUAAUAACCACAAUGAAUCCCUCCAUGUUGUUGAUGACCCUAUAAGGAACUCAUGCAUUACUAGAAAAUGUGUACAUAAAUAAUAUGAUAAAAAUUCCAUGACCCUAAGAAUUUACAAUAAAACCAAAGGUAAAAAUCUUAUAUUUAUACAACUAAAGUAAUUUUCAACUUUAAUAGAAAUUAAAAUAUAACAUGAAUUUAAAACACACCCAAGUGAAUUAUAAAAAUAUUAAAUAUUUUCAUUAAUUCAUCAAAUUUAGGUUUUUGAGCAUACCAAUUGACUAAUAAUAUACUUUUCCUUGUGGCUUACAAAAUUGAAAUAUUAGUUUUUGCAAUAAAAAUGAAAGAAGUAAUUCUCGCUAUUGUAGAAGAGAAAUUACAAUUCAAUGGAGAAAUAGAAGAUAAUAGAUCAUAAUUAAUUCCAAAGUAAAUUUGCAAAUGUAAUGCUUAUUAUUAUUAAGAAAAUAAAACUUGAAAAUAGAUUAAAAGAUUUCCAUGCUAGCUUUAAAAUGAAAUAUAGAACUUUAUCAAUAGAGAUAAUACAAUGGGAAGGAUGAAGAGUCCUUCAAAAGAUGCAAAUGGAAGAAAAAUAACAUAUCUAUACUAAAGUAGGAACCUAAAAAACAAAAAGAUAUUAAUAAAAACUAAUAAUAAUAAUGUAAGUCAAGGGUUAGAAACCUAAAAAAUUCUAGAGUGAAGGCCCUCCUUAUAUUUGAUAAUGUAUGCCUCCUUUGUCUUCGAAUACCAUAGUGACUACAAUUAAUCCAUGUUUAGUUCCCUAGAUCUAUCAAAACUUCCCUUAUAAGAUGAGUAUAUAUUUUAUAAUCACAUUUGCACAAACCUUUACCUACCAAGUAACCAAUAAAGAUUCAGUACAAAUGUCAUCCCCUUUCUUAGACCCUCUAGAAGUACACCGUUCUCAACUUCCCAUAUGUUGCUUUUUCUUUUUUUUGUAUCUUAAUAUAGCUUUAGAGUAAAACUUUUCCAAAAUUAUUAAUUGUUUCUAUUUGCAACAUUAUUUGCUCAUAACUAGCAAAAUUAAUUAUUUUAAAGUUCACAUAUUGUUGGCUUCUAAAGCAUAAAGUACAAAGUACUUAAUGAAGUUUAUUUCUCAUAAUAAAAUCUAAGUUCUUGCUUAGCCAAUCAUUAAGAUCAUCCAAGGUUUUUUUCCUAGUUAUAUAGGAUUACGACCUUUCAUUUAGAAUAGAAUGUAAAAACAACAUAGUUCACUUGAAAAAAAAUCUACUUAUAAAAGGAAAGAACAAAAACCAAAAAAAAAAAAAAAAAAAAAAAAAAAAAAGGAAAAAGAAAAAUUGAAAGAAAAAUAAGUCAAUUGAUGUUUAGAGAAGUUGCAUACUUCAUUACAUGCAAUAUACAAGUUAAAGAUAUAGGUAACCUAUAAUUCAUACAUACACAAAUACUCAUAUUAUUUAUUAAUUUAAACACAAUCAAUGUUUUGUUAAUUCUUAAUAUUCAUCUCGAGAUUUAAAUUGUCUUAUUAAAAAAAAAAUAAAAUUUGCAUUAGAGAUUUCAAAAGAAAGUAUAGAUUUUAAAAACUAGAAAAAUAAUCAAUCAAAAAUUAAUUAAAAGAGAGAGAUGAAAAAUCCUACCAAGUUGCAAAGAUUAAUUGAACUUAUAUGAAAAAUUCAAAAGCUUUUUUUUUCCUAUCUUCAUGUACUAUUUAAAUAUAUCAAAUAGUUUAACAACUAGUGUGUUAAGACUCCAAAGUAAUAAAAAAUUAAUAAUCAAUAGCUAAUUUGCUUUUUAUUUUAUUUUAUUUCUCAUACGAUAAGAAAUAAUCUAUUGAGAAAAGAUGAAAAUUUCCUAUAAUUAUUUAAAUAAUCGAACAACCAAACAUAGUAGAAAACAUUUAUAGAAGCUAACUAUGAUAAGGUGCAAUAAGUAAAUCCUUAAUAUGCAAAACUGACCAAAAUUUAUAGAUUGAAGCAGCAAAAACCAUGAGAAUUUCCAAGUACAGUGGUUAAAAUGACUCAAAGGUAAACUAACCAAAAUUUGAAGAUUGAAACAAUCAAAACCUUAAGAAUUUACAAGUGGUUAAGAUGACUCAAUGUAACACCCCAAAUUAACUUCAGGGUAAAAUAAUAAAUUAAAAUUAAUUAAUUAAUUAAUUAAUUAAACUCAUUAAGGGUAAAAAGGUCUUUUUUUCAAUUAAUAGUUCUAGGUGUAAAUUAGAUUUUUUAUUUUAUUUUAUUUUAUUUUUUAUUCAUAAAACCCUAUUAAUAAAAAAUUAGAGAAUUGAAGAACGUAGGGCUGAAGUUUAAAGGUCUAGGAUUUGAAGUUCAAAUUUUUUCAAGUAAGAUUCUAACCUUAGAUUAAUAUAUUAAAUUCAUAGUUAGUUUUGAAUACAUUAAAUAUUUUUUAAAAAGUUUCAAUUUAGAUUAGGGCUAGUUUUUUUUUUUUUUUUUUUUUUUUUUUUUUUUUUAAAACCAAAAUUUGGAAAACUAAAAAUUUGGGGUUCUUUUUUUGUGGGAAAUUGGAAAAUUCAAAAAAUUGGAAAUUUUAAAUUUUUUAAAAAAAAAAAAAAGGGAAUUUUUAACCCCGAAAGGGGGGUUAAAAAAAAAAAAAAAAAAAAAAAAAAAAAAAAAUGGGGGCCGGGGUGUGUGGAAUUUUUGGGGAAAAGAAAAAAAAAAAUUUAAAUAAAGGCCCCUUGUUCCCGGAGGGGUUGAAAGAAAAAUUUGGGAAUUCGGGAAAAUAUUAUUAAAAAUAAUAAUAAAAUUAUUAAUAUUAAUAAUAUAAAUAAUAUUGGGAAGGGUAAGGGGGGGGNNNNNNNNNNNNNNNNNNNNNNNNNNNNNNNNNNNNNNNNNNNNNNNNNNNNNNNNNNNNNNNNNNNNNNNNNNNNNNNNNNNNNNNNNNNNNNNNNNNNUUUUUUUUUUUUUUUUUUUUUUUUUUUUUAAAUCAAAAUAUUGGAAACUUAAGAUUAUGGGUUCAUUUUUUGUUGGAAAUUAGGAAAUUCUAGAAAUUAGGAAAUUUUAAAUUUUUAGAUGAAAAAAAAAUGUGACUUUUAGACGCUGAAAGUGUGUUAUAAUAAUAAUAAUAAUAAUAAUAAUAAUAAUAAUGUAGGCUGUGUGUGUAGGAGUGUUAGGGUAAAGGAAAAUAAAUAAUUAAAUGAAGGACACGUGUGUCCUGAAGGGAUGGAAGGAAGAUAUUGGAAAUCAAGAAAAUAAUAAUAAUAAUAAUAAUAAUAAUAAUAAUAAUAAUAAUAAUAAUAAUAAUAGUAAUAGUAAUAGUGGGCGAAACUUUGUUUUCUUCAAGGAUGAAAAUAUCAAUAAUUAUGGAUAUAUUGGUAUUUCUAUUUUACAGAUAUAUCAGAGAUAUAUUAACAGAUAUUUUGUUGAUCAUAAAUUAUAAAAAUGUAAGAAAAACUCUUAAAAAUAAAAUUAGAAGUAUAAUAGAAUUGUAAUUGAUAUAUAUAUAUAAUUUAUUAUAUUUGAUAAUAAUAUUGAAUAUGCUAAUAACAAAAACAUGAAUUUCAUAAGUAUACAUUUAUUAUUAAAUUAUAUCAAAUAUUAUUCGAAAAUACUAUUGUGAUAUUUGAUUAUAAUAUGUCCAAUUUAAAAAUAUAUUUAAUAUUAAAAUUAUAAUUCAUUUAAUUCAAUUGUAUUAAAUGAUAUAAAAUAAAUGAUAAUAUAUGUAUAAUUUUUAAUACUUAAUUAAUAUAUUAAUGAUAUUAAAAACCCUAGGAAGAAAAUUAUCAUGAUAAUUUUUAUAUUUUUGGUAUUCAAAUAGAUGAAAAAUUUUCAUUUAAUUAUAAAAUAAUUAUAAUUAAUUUGUUCUUUAAAACAUUUUUUUAAAUUAUGUUUAUAUGAUGAAUUUGAAUAUAUAUAUAUAUAUUUGGUGCAAUUUAAAUUUUAAGGGGCAAACUUGCCCUAGUGGUUGGCACAACACAUUGCAUACCUUUUGGGGGGAUUCGAGCCCCCGCAACGAAGAAAAAUUAAACGAGAUUCACCAUCAAUUAUAAAAAAAAAAAUUAAUCUUUGGUUUUCUUUGUAUGGGUUUUUGUGUGUUGAAGAUAAGUGGAUGAUGGGUUAGUUGGACAUUGAAUAUGAUAAUAAAUAAAAUAAUAAUAUUUAGUUCAAGUUAAUAAUAAGUUACUAGUAUUAAUGGUUUAAUGUAAUAAAUGGGAUAAGGGAUUUAGUUAAAAAUAAUAAUAAUUUUAUUUUUUGUGGUAAAUAGUCACAACUUUUUGGAAAGAUUAUAACUUUUAAGAAAAUUUGGAAACACACUUAUUAAAUUGCCAUUGAUUAUACAAUUAAAAAAAUAUAAGUGACAAAAAAAAUAUCAAUAUAGGAAUUUUAUUUUAGGAUUUUCAAACUUAUAAUUUUAUAUAAAUAGUAAUAGUUAUUUCUCUUAUGUUAUGUUAGGUGAAAAACAAAUUUUCCAGAAUUAUUUUUCUCCAAGGUUUUUGAGGACUUCUUUUGAGGUAAGAGAAAUUAAUAAAAUUUUGUAAAAGAGAAUAUAUAUAUAUAUAUAUAUAUAUAUAUAUAUAUAUAUAUAUAUAUGUUGUUUGAAAUGUAUAAUUGUUAUUUUUUCUUUUAUGCAUAGAUCAAAUAUAUUUUUGCAUGGAAAAUGUAUUAUAACAUUUCUUUUGUUUAUAACGAGACAUAUGAAGAUAUUCUACUUUUGUAAGUUUGAAUAAAUAAAACAAAGAAUUUGACUCUGGUUGGUUUGACCCUUAUCAAUGGGAUAUAAUAGUUGACUUUUACAUUUUCAUGGUGAGGAAUGUAAUUGAUUUAGACCCCAACCUUUAGGAGUUUGGUUAGAGAUUACUACUACUAUUAGUGUUUGUUUCAGUCCAUCUUAAAAGGAACAAAUUUGAGGUUAGUCACCCAUUUAUAAAGUUCCAUUCAAUUGGAUAUUAUUUGUCAUUUGAUAACUAGAGUGAAAAUAAUUUAAAAGUAUUUGAUUUGAAUUUGAUAUAAAAUGAUUUUCAUAUAUAUGAAAAUAUUUGGUUGAACAGUUUAAAAUGUAUUUACAUGCUUGUACUCUAAUGUUUUAUGAAAAUGAUUAUACAUUAUAUCUCUUAUUUGAAAGCGUGAAUGAAAAUAUUUGAUCUUUGAAACUGUAUUAAUAUUCUUUAUUGGGCUUUGAACUCAUUCCCUUUGAUGAUAAUUUUUUUCAGGUACCCUCAGUUUGGACGAUGAGUGAUGGUUAGGAUAGAAAAUUUGACCUUAUUAGGACAUUUGUUUAAACCCUCUUUUUGGGACUUUGUUAAAUGUAAAAUUUGAUUUUUGUUAGUUGUUGUUUAAGUUUAAAUUUGUUUGGACAAAAAAUACUAUGAUUGAUAGGUUGGUUUAAAAGUUGAGAUUUAAAGAUUUUAAUUAGGAUUAUCAUGUAUUUAAACUUUAAUAUUUGGAUGUAAGAGAGAUUUACAAUCAACGCACUUCUUGCAUGGUUAAUCUUUUACCCAAUUGUAGUAGGAGUAACCAUGGUGGGGAAGGUUGCAUUACCUCAACCCUAUCAUCUCAAGAAAGCAUACUGCUGCUCCAUUCCCCACCUACCACUCUAGAUAGUCUUCUUAGCUUUGUGACACUAAUACCAUGUUUGGUAUGUGAAAAUACGAAGUGCGGAUGAACAUUUCAUUUCUUUUCUUAUUUAUUCUUGUGUUUGUAUAAAUUAAUAACAAUGUGAAUAGAAUAAAAAAAAUCAUUUCAUUAAAAAUGAAAUAUAAUUUAUAGGUGAGAUUUCAAUUCAUCUUUCCCUCAAUGUAGGAAAUGAAAUAGAAUAUAUUAAAAUUACUAUUUUACCCCUUCAUUUGCAUUAGGCUUGUAUAAUUUUUUAUGACCAAUUUUUAUCUAUUGAGUAAAUAUCAUUUUUUUAGUCUCAUUAUUUAGUAAAAAAAGGUCUAAAAAAAUAUUCUUUUAAUAUAAAAUUAAAGAAUUACUUUAAAUUACAUGUAAGGGUAUUAUUGUCAUUUUUCAAAUCCCAUUUUUAGCCCAUUGUUAUCAAACAUUAAAAUAAAAUAAAUAAUCAUUUCAACCUUAUAUAUGUAAAUACAUCCAAAUACAAUAAUUGGAACCGUCAAAUAUAUUUUAAGAAAGAAAUAGGAAUAGAUAUGAAAUGUUGUUUCCCUUCCCAUUCCAUGUAACAAACAUAACCUAAGUUUAUUCUGUCUUAUCUUGCAAUUAUCCUCUUUUUGCAUUGAUUUCUAGCUUGCCCAUUGGUUCCCACCCUUGUUACUGGUGUUGUUGCACGAGAUGAGUCGUUGUCCUGGGUGAGAGUGUUGUUGGGCUUACUGUCCAUCACUGUUCCAGGCCCAAGACCCUUGGUACCAACAAUAAACAUAGAAGAUGAUAUACAUUGAUGGCUCUCAAGUUCGUCUAGAUCUGAAAAUUCUUUAUUCAUUGCGAGAUACAACGCCCAUUAUUUGUAGUUUUUCGUUAGUUAGGCAUAAGAAUUUCAGUACAUUGCAACAGAUAGAUGCUAUGACUGCCACAAAUUGGAAGAUAUAUAUUAACUAUGGGACAUUGUUCAAGGCCCUUUGCAGCUGCUGAAAAUUAGGGAGAUGUUCCGAGAAAGAUGGAAUUCGCUGGUAGACGAUGGAGGCAGUUCGAAUAAGAAUGUUUGCAGUGAAGCCCCAUAUGAGGAAAAUUCCUUGCUCUGAUUCAAAAUCAAAGAGAUGGAGGGCAUAUUUCCACCCCAUCCAUUCCCUCUCUUCACAUCUAUGAUUCUCUUCCUGCAGAAAAUAUCAUCAAUUCUAGGUAAGAGGUUCCAAAGCUAAUACAAGGCUUCGUUUUGAAGUAUGGACUCUACAUGUCACCUUGAGAAACAUCUCUAGUGGCACGUCGAAGACAGCAUCAACUUCAUCAGUAUUGGGUACAGGCUUGAAAUCUUCUAUCCUAGAAAGUAGACCGACAACAGGUACAACCCUGAGUUGGUGCUGCAUCAUCAAGAGUCAAGAAUGAUUAGCCCCUUAUUGGUUAAAAAUAGAACAUAGGAAAGGAAUAAUAGCAAUUCACCAAACCAAUUAACCCAAAACAGGAAAAAAAAAAAAAAAAAAAAAAAAAAAAGGAAGGAAAGGAAAAGGAAGAAGUACCUGGGAAAUGAAAGGCUCAAGGUUUGCAACAACUUGAACCAAAUUAGGAUCCAAGCCAAUCUCCUCCAUGGCUUCUCUCAAUGCUGUUGCAGUAUCAUCUGCAUCACCUUCUUCCAUCUUCCCUCCCGGAAAUGCUACUUCUCCUAUAUCACAUAAACAGGUUUCACAUUACAUGCUGCAAUGUUGAAUGAAUCUGGAAGGUGAUGGCCAUUAUAGUAUUCUCAGUGUAGUAUAUAACCCCUUAAUUAAAUUUAAUGCAAUUUGUACCAAGUAACAAACAGAAACAUUUUCCUACUAGCGACUUUUAGACAAACAAUCUUAAAUUGGCUUCAAAUCAAUCAGUUUCAGGACAGUUCACUAGUAACAUUACCCGGGUGGGAAGACAGCUUCAUGGACCUCUUGGUAAGAAUGACUCGCAGCUCCCCUUCAUCCCCUUCAAAGAGGCACACUAAGACAGCUGCUCUCCUCUCUCUACAGCACUUGACGCUAUAUGAAAAAGGAUCAUCCUUAAUGGCUGCCGGCUUCUCCAUCCCUGGACUAACUGAGUUGCAGAUAACAUCAGCUUCAUUACCUGGUUCUUCAACGACAAAAGGUGGUUUAUAAACUUGAAGCUGCUUUGCCAGAACGCGAAGAGUUUGGCUGCCCCAGUUCUCAAGGGAUAAAUAAAUUUCACCCCCAUCCAUGAACGGAGAGGGUACAAUGCCAGCCAUUAAACAACUGAAGUUUGCAAAGCCAUCGCACAUGCUUACCUAGCUUAUAACAAAGCAUAUAUAAACGUAAAGACAACUCACUUUUACAGAUCGUUUAAAUGUAUUCACAGUGAUCGACCAGUGGAUUAAACAGUACCUAUUAAAAAGUAAUAUGGAAUUAGUGUACACUGAAAAGUAUGGCACAUGACAAAAACAAAGAAACAGGAUGAAAACGGAUCGGAAAAUUUCAUCCUUUAUUCACUUUUAUUAAAGUGAAAUCAAAGUAAGAUCCGACCUCAUAAUUACGGAGAAAAAAGUGGCUGCAAUGUGUAUGAAAGUUCAUGCGUCUGCGGGUUAGAAAAACAUAUGUGCAGAGGAAUAGAAUCUUAAAUCCAUAUGCAAGAAUAUGACUGCAACUUGAAAAGCAUAUAGUUGCUUAGAAGACCCGCUACUCUUUUUGGUCUUUAGAUGCUGCUUUGGUUAUCCUUGAGUUGGGUAUUGGUGUUCCCUCUGCUGCCAAAUGCUCCAUUCGCUCACUUCUCAGAUCAGAUUAGAGUUUCGAAGAUAUAAAGGGCUGUUUAUGUAAUUAAUUGUGCUCGUCUCUCUAACCAAAUUUUCAAUUGCUUGUAUUUUCUGGGGUUUUGCAGCCUUUGCUUUUUGGGUAAAUCUCAACUCUUGCAAUGGAGAAAUUUAUGCAGAAAUUUCUGGGAUUUCUGGGUUCCAUAAUUAGGAAUACAUAUGUAAAUUACUACAUACUUGAAACUUUAGCUUAAUUGAUAGAUAGGUAGAUGGUAAUUGGAUAAGGUCUAUUUAUUUAUUUUUUUUAAAAUAAAAAUAGUAGUAACUUAAAAUUUUAAUACCUUAAUUUUUAAAAUAAUUUUGAAGAAAUUAUUAUCUUUUCAAAAUAUGUUUAAUUUCAAUAAUUCUUGUAUUUUGCAUAAAAAUAAUUAUUAUUUUUUGUUUUUAAAAAUAGGAAAAAAGUAGGAAAUGUGAAGUGUAUCAGAACAACACCUGAACUGACCAUAUGAUUUUGCUUGCUGUGAUGAUAUGACAUAAUAAAUGAUUCCCUUCUCUACCCUUUGUCUGUACUAUAUAUGAUAUUUCUUACCAUGAAUUUUCUCUUUUCCACUCUUUUCACCUUAAAACAAGAAAUUGUAUUUGAUGCCAGGUAUUAAAAACAUUAUAAAUUGAAAAAGAAAAAUGUCUUCAUGUAUUUGGGAUGAAAGUCCAAGAAAAUGUGCAAGUUCUCAAUUUGAUUUUUAUUUAUUUUAUUCACAGAAUCAUCUGAUAGUUGGGUUGGGCAUUUAUGUGGAUUGAUUUUGGAGUUGGGUUGGACUAGAAUUGAGAUGGGCAUAGAUAGAGCCCACUCAAUUUCAGAUAAUGCCUGCCCCUGAUGGUGGGCAUCUGCGAGAGGAAGGGAAGAUAUGCAAAUACACACGUACAGCAUAAAAUUGACUCUUAAUGUCACAUUAUGGCUUAAAAUGUGCCACACUAUGAUUCAAUCAAUUAAAUUCCUAGUCACAUUCAACUGAAUCCCAUCUCAUUUACACGUGUAGCCAUUAACACUGCACGGUGAGAACAAAAAAUCAAUGAGAAUCAUCGUCACCUUCUGCUUGCGACUCCCGUGAUUCCUCCAUCCGCCAUGACCAGGACUCUUCAAGAUCUCCCUGUCAAGCCCUUUCCUCCUGUGGUGGAGCCCCCUUCCCAUGCAUUUUGAGAAUGACCACCCUCUUGUUUUUCUCUUCCUACUUUCAUGAAAUUUCUCGAAAUUUAACCACUACACUAAAUUUAAAAGAGUACCCAUACCAUAUUUUAAUUUUAUUCUAAGAAAUUACAUAUUAUUAUCAUAGAUUAACAGACAAAAAGAAAAAAGGGAAUUCCACCUAAAACCUCAAUUGCCCAGAAAAUCGAAAUUCUGCCAACCACAUAAAUUAUCAUUUUAAUAAAAUUUAAGAUGAAUUUAAGGUACCCAUCCCAGAUGGAGUUGCUAAAUAGGAAACUUGAUAAGCUUUGCAUUUAAGUAAAUUGUUUAAGAGGGAGAUGAUGCUCCUCUUCACAUAUCAAUGGAUCCAGGACCACCUACCUUUGGCUGUUUCUUAAUUUUCCUUGGCAUUAUUGGUGGAGACUUCCUCUUUCUUUCUUUCUUUCUUUUCCACAGUACACAAUGGCAUCAUCUUCAAAACUCUAAAAGCCGUCACUACGGCCCCAUUACGAAAACGCCUUCUCUGUCUGUCUUUUUCUCCUCUCAUUUUCUUCCAUAAUAAUUUAUUUCUUAGCUAUCGACCUUAUCUCAUGAGCCAGCUACUUGUCCAAGGAUUAAUAAACCAUGUGCGUGCGGUAUAGAUUUACACACCACGCAGCGAUGGGAGCUCUUUAACAAUUCCUUUCUGAGGUACAAGCACCACGCAUUUUAUGUUAUUCCAUGGCCUUCCCCCCAUUGUCAUCUUCCUCUAUGCCGCCUCAAUUUCCUCAAAGAGAUGAUAUUGUCUUCUACCAUGACCGGAGCUUUGCUAUCAAUGGCGAGAUCCUGAUGCUCAUACUAGUGCUGCUCUUCUCCAUCUUCCUUCUCUUUCUCAUCUUCAUUGUCUGGAUAAAGCGCGACCCUAGCCCCCCUGAGCUCAACUCCCCGGAGGUCGGACCAACCAGAGAUUUCCCAGCUCACAUGUUUAAGGGUGAUCAAGCCCAGCACACUGGGAGAAGUCAUCAAACAGUCUAACUACAGAUGGAAUCAAAGCCAAAUCCUGGAUUUGGAGAGAGAGGGAGAGAUAUUAUAGUCUUGAAUUAAGGUAAGUCUGGUGUUAUCUUCUAUGCAAAAGCAGUAGUUCUCGCGUCCAUUAAUUGCCAGUGUAUCUACUUCCUAAUGUGUAAUUCAAUGGCUUGCCAAGCCAUUAGAGGAUAUUAUUUGAGAAUGACACACAAAUAUAGAACUGGAGGACAUUUACUCAUGUAUUGUAUAUAGAACCGUUGACAGCUUUCUAUUUUAUAAUUAAUGAUGAUUAUGUAAUGCUUUUCCAAAUAUAACAAGGCAUCUCCACACCCAUCUGCAUUGCCUUAUAAUUAGCCAACAUUUGAACAUCUUAAUCAAGGUCGAGGGAGGAUGCUUAGCGAGUUUUAGGAAAAGAGACAAACUGAUCAACUUUGGCUGCAUGGUGGCAUCAGCAGACUUAGCUCUUCCCUGGUUGCGUCAAGAUUAAUGUUUGGUCCAUAAAAUCACUUGAUUAGACCAAAAUUAUGUCUAAUUCUAUUUGACGCCACGAAAGUAGUGUAAAACCUUGUUAGACCAAAAAUUAUAUAUAUAUUUAUAUAUUUUUCUUGUAUUUGAAAUCAUUACUAAUUUAAUAACAGGUAUUAAUAAAAGUUAACAAAAAUUUUCAACCCCAUAAAAUGUAAGGUAGGACCUCAAAAUAUCUACAAUUAAUUUGAUAAACAUUCAUAUCAAUAAUGGAAUGAUGUGAUACAUGCGUGUCUAUAAAUUGGUAAAACGUGUCUCUAUUUGGAAGGACAACCUGUCAUUUUUUUAAAAAAAUAUCUGAAAGAAAACGUUAAAACUAUAUGAUGACCGAAAGUUAUAUAUAUAUAUGAAGAAAAAAUAAAAAAGUUGUAUUAACUUUUUUUGGAUUAAAAUUGUAGGAGCUAAUUAAAAAUCAUGUCAAAUUAAAUUCUUUCAAGUGACCUACACGUCUUAUAAUUUUGACAAAACAGAUAUGUUCCGUUUGCCGGGUAAGCAUGCAGAAGAAAAGUUGGUCCUUUUGUCGCAUUCCUUCUAUUGCAAACUCUUUUAAUCUCCAAAAUUUUGAUAAAUAUUAUAAAAUUUAUUUAGAAUCUAUUUGUGAUUUUUGAAGAGCUAAAAAGGCUUCAUAGUCUUCAUUAAAAUAUUUUACCAAUUUAUGUUUAAAUAUUAUCUAAAUUUUCAGAGAGGUGUUUUCAUACGGAUAAAAUUAAAUGUUACAAAGAAUCAGUUCCCACAUGAUGGUAAAAUCACAGCCGCAAAGCAUCUCCUCACCAUGUUACUUGAGAGGAUGGAAACAAACAGACGGCCGCUGGAGAGAUGAGGUAAGGCCAGACCGGCCAAGUGUUACACUGUUACCCUUCAUGCGUGGCCAAGUGAUGGUACGCACUGAUUGGCCUGUUGUUGCGCCGGGCCCAAGUGGCUGGACCAGGCGUAAGUGGUGUGAAAAAAUAUCUAGGGCACCUGUCGGUGGAUUAACUGUAGACGUAAAGUGGUGGCGACUGACAACAGGUGUCCUUUACCCCCUCAAUUAUCCGAGCUUUGACCCAAAAUAAUGCUUUUCAAAAAAAAAUUCCAAAAAAUAAAGUGGUUUUGAAAAUAAUGCCCGAUCUAAUGCGUUUGUGCCACAUAAGCCGCCACGUCAUAAAACCGUAGUUGGUGACUACGGUUUUAUUUUUCUAAGUGUUUAGAAACCGUAGUUACCAACCACGGUUUUAACUUUUAAGUUUAAAGCCGUAGUUGGUGACUACGGCUUUGACUUUUUUUUAAAAUGGUCAAAGCCGCAGUUGGUGACUACGGCUUUGACUGGUCAAAGCCGUAGUCACCAACUGCGGUUUUAACUUUAUAUAUAUUUAUAUAUAACUUUAAUUUUUUUAAUAAAAAUAUUAUAUUAUUUUGAUUUUAAAUAUACUUAUUUCAUUAUUUUAAAAAUUAUAAUAUACGAAAUAUAAAUAANNNNNNNNNNNNNNNNNNNNNNNNNNNNNNNNNNNNNNNNNNNNNNNNNNNNNNNNNNNNNNNNNNNNNNNNNNNNNNNNNNNNNNNNNNNNNNNNNNNNNNNNNNNNNNNNNNNNNNNNNNNNNNNNNNNNNNNNNNNNNNNNNNNNNNNNNNNNNNNNNNNNNNNNNNNNNNNNNNNNNNNNNNNNNNNNNNNNNNNNNNNNNNNNNNNNNNNNNNNNNNNNNNNNNNNNNNNNNNNNNNNNNNNNNNNNNNNNNNNNNNNNNNNNNNNNNNNNNNNNNNNNNNNNNNNNNNNNNNNNNNNNNNNNNNNNNNNNNNNNNNNNNNNNNNNNNNNNNNNNNNNNNNNNNNNNNNNNNNNNNNNNNNNNNNNNNNNNNNNNNNNNNNNNNNNNNNNNNNNNNNNNNNNNNNNNNNNNNNNNNNNNNNNNNNNNNNNNNNNNNNNNNNNNNNNNNNNNNNNNNNNNNNNNNNNNNNNNNNNNNNNNNNNNNNNNNNNNNNNNNNNNNNNNNNNNNNNNNNNNNNNNNNNNNNNNNNNNNNNNNNNNNNNNNNNNNNNNNNNNNNNNNNNNNNNNNNNNNNNNNNNNNNNNNNNNNNNNNNNNNNNNNNNNNNNNNNNNNNNNNNNNNNNNNNNNNNNNNNNNNNNNNNNNNNNNNNNNNNNNNNNNNNNNNNNNNNNNNNNNNNNNNNNNNNNNNNNNNNNNNNNNNNNNNNNNNNNNNNNNNNNNNNNNNNNNNNNNNNNNNNNNNNNNNNNNNNNNNNNNNNNNNNNNNNNNNNNNNNNNNNNNNNNNNNNNNNNNNNNNNNNNNCUGCGGCUUUGACCAUUUUAAAAAAAAGUC
rnacentral:lncRNA from 1 species